UUGCGAAUAGCACAGUGGUAGUGCAACAGCCGUCCUAGCUGUCGGUCGCGGGUUCAAUCCCCGCUUCGAUGAA
rnacentral:tRNA from 1 species